rnacentral:rRNA from 1 species
GAUGAACGCUGGCGGCGUGCCUAAUACAUGCAAGUCGAGCGAACGGACGAGAAGCUUGCUUCUCUGAUGUUAGCGGCGGACGGGUGAGUAACACGUGGAUAACCUACCUAUAAGACUGGGAUAACUUUGGGAAACCGGAGCUAAUACCGGAUAAUAUUUUGAACCGCAUGGUUCAAAAGUGAAAGACGGUCUUGCUGUCACUUAUAGAUGGAUCCGCGCUGCAUUAGCUAGUUGGUAAGGUAACGGCUUACCAAGGCAACGAUGCAUAGCCGACCUGAGAGGGUGAUCGGCCACACUGGAACUGAGAAACGGCCCAGACUCCUACGGGAGGCAGCAGUAGGGAAUCUUCCGCAAUGGGGGAAAGCCUGACGGAGCAACGCCGCGUGAGUGAUGAAGGUCUUCGGAUCGUAAAACUAUGUUAUUAGGGAAGAACAUAUGUGUAAGUAACUGUGCACAUCUUGACGGUACCUAAUCAGAAAGCCACGGCUAACUACGUG